UGUAUAUAUAUAUAUAUAUAUAUAUAUAUAUAUAUAUAACUUGUAAUACAAUUUUUAUAUAAUUGUAAACGUACUAAUUCAUAUCUUUAUGACUGAUGUUCGUAGUUUUAGGUUAACAUGGAUUAAACAAAAUCUACACAUAAUGCAUUUGAAAAGUAGCAAAAAUAAAUUAUGAAGGCAAGGCAGAGUGAAAAGGUCACGUUGUUUUUUGUGUUUUUUUUUUUUUUUUAUGAAAGUGUGAUAUUUUUGAUUAAUAUCAUAAUAUAACAUUGGAUCACUAGUGUGGGGUAGCAUGUUCCUCGUGAAGGAUGAGACAGUCUGGUAAAUAAAUGCACGUGUGUUGAUUGGACAUCAGCGGGAACAUCCUCUUAAAUGACAAGACCUUAAACCAAUGAGAAACACGGAUCGCCGCCAGCGCUGUUUGUUAUGUUUUGAGGUAAAUUGUACUAUAAGAGAACAACCUUUAAUACUAAUAAACGUUAAAAUACACGAAUGAAAUAUCCUUUUCUAUAUCCUAAUUUUUAGAUAAAUGUAUAUAUUUUUUAAUCUAAACAGCAGUUGUGCGUUUGAGUUGACAUGCACAUUAGUCCCGCCCAAGGGAGCCAACGAGCCAAUAAGAAACACCGUUAGGCUGACGUCUGCGCAUGCUAGAAGAAGUAGGCAGGAAGUUCAUCACGCAGUGAACGCAUCUGUCUGGGCUCACGCGACACUGGUAUUAGAACUUAAAACCAGCAUAAAAACAAUGAUCGCGUUGAAGUGCUAUCUCUCUCUUCCAGUGGUGGCAGGGGCAUUAUUAGUGGGCCUCCCUUACAGUGUCUCUCUUGUUGCCCAGUGGCUUUAUGGCUGGCCCAAUAAACCAGGGUACCAAAAAUAUAUAGAGGCUCUCAAACCAAGGCGCAUAUACUGCCUUACAAGAGCCGUGCUAGAGAUGCUGAAAUAUCUGCAGUAUGGCAAACUGUACUUUCAGUGGAAACUGUGGUACAGUAAUGACAAAAAUAACAAGCACUAUGUGAAAGGCAUAACCUUUGGUCGGCGAGGGAACAAACUAGAUUUAUACUAUUCACCAAACAUGGGCCAUUCUGAUGCUGCUCCUGUACCAGUGGUUGUAUUUGUGUACGGAGGUGCCUGGGGGUCAGGAGACCGCUCCAUUUACUGUCUGUUAGCAUUACAAAUGGCAAAAGAGCUUAAUGCCUCUGUAAUUUGUCCAGAUUAUUCCAUAUAUCCAAAGGGAAAUGUUUUAAAUAUGGUUCAAGACAUUACUGACAGUUUGCUGUGGGUGAGAGAAAAGGGACAAACAUUCAAUCUUGAUCAAGACAACGUAAUAUUAAUAGGUCAUUCAGCAGGGGCUCAUCUGUGUGCCCUUACCACGCUGUUUCUGGUGAACAAUGCAGAAGAACUGUUCCUUGAGACCAACGAACAGAGAGAUCUCGUAUCUGCCAUUAAAGGAAUCAUCGGUCUGAGUGGCGUUUACAGUAUAAUGGAUCAUUAUAAGCAUGAGAAAAUGAGGGCUGUUGAAUAUGUGUCAACUAUGCACAAAGCUAUGGAUGGUGUGGAGAACUUUGAUUAUUAUUCGCCGUCAUCGUUACUCAAGAAACUGAAUGAGGAUCAGUUGAAAAGAGUUCCUCCAGUGGUUUUGCUCCAUGGAACCAAUGACAUCAUAGUUCCUGUGCAAUCAUCAGUGAAGUUCUCCGAGCUCCUCACCGCUCUUUCUAUCAGGAUGUCUCUCUAUCUCAUACCUAAAAUGAACCACACUGAGAUGGUCACUGACCUUAUGGCUCCAGACAGGCACUUUUACCACACUGUUUAUGGCUGUAUUAAACAGGAGUACAGUAAAUUUCAAGGUUAUGUUGAUUAAUAUUUAUCAUCCAAUUCAGUACUAAUAUCAUUUUCCAGUAUGCCAGACAGUGAUUACAUGUUAUUUAUGAUUUACUGUAAGUUUACAUUUAAAGGGGUGGUUAACAGUUUUUUUUCUAGGCUUGAUUGUGUUUAUGGGGUGCAGUUUAACAUGUGUUCAUGCUUUGUUCAUCAACUUUGCAGAUAUUGUUUAUGCUCAAACAGCAACAUUGUACACUAACUAACGUUAAAAACUUGAAAUCGCAAUCAACCACCUCUUUAAGUUCUAAUGAUUUGUGUUCUUCUGAAAUGUUUAAUUUUCAAUCAAAAAUGUGUUCAAUAACCAUUUAUACAAGACGGCAAGGUGAAAGAAAAUAUUAUCCCUGUGUUUGUUAUCUGUUAAUACAUUCUGUUAAUGUUCAAUGAAAUGUAAAUAAGAAGAAAUCGUUCCAAUUAAGACAGAAAUAUACAAAUAUACAACAUAUUUUCGUGUUUGAAAUGUAAUACGGAUGGAGAAAUUCUUAUUUUGCAUUUUUAUAACUUGUGUAAAAUCUUCCAUAAUAUAUUUAUUCAAGCCAUACAUAAAUGUUUCUCUUUGUGUCCUAAUUACAGAAUUAGUCACUUGGCUAUUGAAGUUCUUCUGUUUGUUACAUAUUCACAGUUCAUACAGUUCAUGUUCAUCAUAUAUUACAUUAAAUAACAUAAGCUUCAGCUGUGCAUGCUAUAGAAAUAUUAUUGAUUAAUGUUUGCUUUUGUCAUUAUUAGAAUAGAAUGUUAAUACAAAGAACACAUUAAUGUGAAUAUUUAGGUGUUGACCUUGAACCACUGAAUAUUUUGCCUCAUAAGUAAACUGCUUUAUGUUGGGGGCAUAUGCUUAAAACAUUUAUCUUAGAAAUAUAAUUGAGUUGAAAUGGAAAAAAAAAAAAUAGCACACAAAGGCAAAGCACAGGUAUGAUCUAUUACUGAGAAACGUAUUGAAUAUACAUGCAUAAUAAGUCAAUACAUUCAUAUAUUCAUUGGACUGAAACUGUAACUAACGUCCACAUCAGCAUCAUGUAAAAUUGGCAUCCCUUUCUUCUUUUACAUUAAAUACACUAUAAAUACUGCCAGAUUGACUUUCUAUUAUUAUUACCUUGCUGAGCAGAGACAAAAACGACCCUCCAAAUGAAACGGGCAAAUGCGUCGUAAUGGCCAGCAGGUGUCGCUGUUUCCCGUGUAAUCGAAGUACUACAGCGAGCCCUGUGAGGCAGCGUCUCCCACACCGCUGAGAUGAAGCAGAGCUGGAGCUGGGACGAGCUCGAGCCUGUGUUGUUUGGGAUGUCGAGGAUUAAAUAUGGCCACUAGCUAGCUGAUCUAACAGAACUAGUAUCCGCUUCACAAAGCGCUGGCAUCACCCGUUAACAAUGGCUGGGAAGAGCGCAGGAAGAUCUCUUUAGAGCGGCUCCCAGUGAAGCUUGAAGACGUCGGCUGGUCUGGUGAGUUCUCAUGGAUUUGCGGAUACACUGGAGACAUGCAAAACACAUACACAUUGCCCACUGGCGCUAGCUACCUUCCUUCAAAAUACAGCUCCCUCUCCCCGGUUUUACGUCUCUCUAGAAAUGUCAAGAUGUUAUUCGGUUUAUAGAAAUGAUAUUCUAAGCAGUCGAGUUUAGUGAAAAGGAAACGCUCAGCUCGGCGUGUGUUGGUUGUGUAGCCGGGGCUAGCUGUGGCGAGGACUCCGCUAGCCUGUUAGCUGCAGGAGAAUAAUCACUGAUGGGCAGACAAUUCACAAAUACGAUCCUUUAUUAUCACAGACCUCGAGUUAACCAUAUGCGUGAUUAUCGUUACUUAUUUCGAGAUUAUUUAGGCGAUGUCUGGUGAGCUGUAACGUUAAUUGUCUUGUAAGAUCGCACUGUCACUGAAGAUAUCGCUAUUGAAUUUAUUAGUGGUUCCUGUCAAUAAAUAAAUAAUACAUAUAAUAAUUCUGAGUAGU
ensembl:lncRNA